rnacentral:rRNA from 1 species
GAAGCGGCAACAGCUCAAAUUUGAAAUCUGGCGCAAGCCCGAGUUGUAAUUUGUAGAGGAUGCUUCAGGGCAGCGGCCGGUCUAAGUUCCUUGGAACAGGACGUCAUAGAGGGUGAGAAUCCCGUAUGCGACCGGUUGGCACCCGUCACGUAGCUCCUUCGACGAGUCGAGUUGUUUGGGAAUGCAGCUCUAAAUGGGAGGUAAAUUUCUUCUAAAGCUAAAUACCGGCCAGAGACCGAUAGCGCACAAGUAGAGUGAUCGAAAGAUGAAAAGCACUUUGGAAAGAGAGUUAAAAAGCACGUGAAAUUGUUGAAAGGGAAGCGCAUGCAACCAGACUUGUCGGCGGUGUUCCGCCGGUCUUCUGACCGGUCUACUCGCCGCCGGCAGGCCAGCAUCAUCUGGGCGCGCCGGACAAAGGCGUGGGGAAUGUGGCUCCUCGGAGUGUUAUAGCCCCGCGCACAAUACGGCGCCGCUCGGGUGAGGUCCGCGCUUCGGCUAGGAUGCUGGCGUAAUGGUUGUAUGCGGCCCGUCUUGAAACACGGACCAAGGAGUCUAACAUCUAUGCGAGUGUUCGGGUGUCAAACCCCUACGCGUAAUGAAAGUGAACGGAGGUGGGAAGCGCAAGCUGCACCAUCGACCGAUCCUGAUGUCUUCGGAUGGAUUUGAGUAAGAGCAUAGCUGUUGGGACCCGAAAGAUGGUGAACUAUGCCUGAAUAGGGUGAAGCCAGAGGAAACUCUGGUGGA